GUUUCUCUCCACAGCAUUCAGUCUGGUUUAGUUGCAACACUAAUGCAUGUUCUCUCUCAGGUGACGGAGUAUCUCAACGGUCAGGAGUCUGCCAAGACUGCCAGGCUCAACAUCUGGCGCUACGGAGACUUUCCGCGACGAUGACGCAGACGAUUUGGCUACAAACUAAAAAAGUGAAAAACGCACGGCGCCAUUCCAAAGACCAACGCGGAAGACGAGAUGCACUCAUUGGAGAGAAAAAGUGACAGGAAACAAUU